AUCAAGUGUCUUAAGGCCCUCC
rnacentral:rRNA from 1 species